rnacentral:rRNA from 1 species
UACGGAGGGUGCAAACGUUGCUCGGAAUCAUUGGGCGUAAAGCGCACGUAGGUGGCCUGUUAAGUCGGGUGUGAAAUCCCUGGGCUCAACCCAGGAAGUGCACUCGAAACUGGCAGGCUUGAGUACUGAAGAGGAUCGCGGAAUUCCCGGUGUAGAGGUGAAAUUCGUAGAUAUCGGGAGGAACACCAGUGGGCGAAGGCGGCGAUCUGGGCAGAUACUGACACUGAGGUGCGAAAGCGUGGGGAGCAACCAGG